UUUGAGGCGCUUGCCAAGAGGUGAAUGCCAUCGGUAGGAGAUCAGUGAUUGGGCUUGGCCCAAAUAGGCUGAAACCAACAGAGCUUUCUGUGCUCACACAAAUCCUGCAGAUUGAAAACUAGAGGAGACCCAAAUGCAGGGCCAGGUUUACCAUUGAUAAUUUGCUGUUCUCAGUCAUUUAUUGCAGAGAAGAUAAAAUCCGACGACUGGAAAGAAGGAGCCUGCAACAAUACAACUGGUCUCCUCCUGAAGAUAGUGCUCGGGUCCUGAAUUUGCAUGGCUCAGAAAGUGGAAGAGUUAACACCUCAGAAUCUUCAAAGAGCAAGACUUUCAGGCUAAAGAGAGAGACUCCCAUCAAAACUAGAGUAUGAUAAUGCAUCGUGGCUCUACAAGAACAUGUGUUUUAAGAUAUAACAACUGAAAUAUGUAAAUGAGAAGACACAAUGCCUGAGAAGUACGUACAGCUGUGGCCAAAUCGAGUAACUAUUGAAUCUGGAUAACAGGUCUUGCCUUGGGCUGGCCCAGGCUCCAACUUCCCACAGGCAGAGCUUCCUGUGGAAGGUGAAUAGACCACGUGCAUGGACAGACCUGAACCAGAAGCAAGCCAGGGUCGAGCUCCUGUCUCCCUUUCUGAAUUAACUUGCUCCAAAUUACCAAACCAAAGGCCAUUAUCUCAACAUCAUAAACCUUAUUUCUAAUUAAGAUGAUCGAUGCCUCUUUCAGAAUUACACAUUCCAAUUAGCCAGGGAAUAAAGUUAUUCCUAUUGUGUACUGGCACACUGAAAUUAUCACAGAAAAAGUAAAAAAUUACUUCAAUUACAUGAAAAUAUUACUCUCCUGUCAAGCUUGUUCUGAAAUACGGGUCCUUCACAUUCCGUUUAGUGGAAUUACAACUUCAUUAAAUAUAUUUGCUUGUAAAAAAAAAUAUAGUCUUCAAUAUUUUAACACGUCCCUCAAUGUUUUUAAGUAGCAGCAUGUACGUCCAUCAGCUGUGAGAGCUCAUAGCCAUGCUCAUGUUAUUUGCAUCUAAAUAUUCUCCCGACAUUAUUACAGAAGAUAAUUUUACCCUAGGGAGACAUGCAAGACCCGGUAUCAGAUGUCCUAUCAUAU